GGUGUACGCGAGGACGAGGUAAACAACCAAACCAACCCUCUGCCUCCUCCCCUACUCUCGUUGUCGCCCGCAGAACCCCACCCAAGCCCUCGCUCGCUCGCCGGAAUCUAGGGCGGCCGCGGCGGCCGGGAGCAGACGCGCGCGGGAGGAGUAGUUCGGGUCCGCGCCGCAACCCUUUGCCUCGGCCACCACCGCCGUCCGCGCCGCCGCCCUUUGUCGUCGCCACCACCGCCGUCCUCGCCGCAUCCACCACCAUCGUCCAAACUUCUCUCGGCCGUUGCCGGGGAUCCGGCCGCGCAACAAAUCGAUCGCAAAGGAUCUCAAGGCCUGCCGCCCUGCCCGGCGCACCCAUCCAGAGGCACAUGUUCUCCACAGAUCCAUUGGAUCCCUUGCCGCCUCUCAUCGUCCUUUUUCAUCGUGGCUUGCCCUGGAUGCUAGAUUCUGCAAUUCCUCACCUGCAGUAUGGAAGUGCAUCUUCACCUGGGGCGCUAGCUGCUGAUGGCCACAGAUAACAGCGACGUGUACAAGCGGAAGGCUUUUUCCUAAAGGGAUUGAGAUUACCAGGAUUCAGAUUGGAUCCCUGCUGUGUCAGUGUGGAGAACUGCUCGAACACGUAGGCAUGACAUGACCGAUGCUGAUUACGCCCGAACUGCCCUCCUUUGACAUAAAAGAUUCUCGAGCCCCUCGACUGAAAUCCCGACUAAACGCAAGUUUCCCUUCUUGAAAUUACUGCGUCUGAAGCUUCCAAUCUCGCCAACUUCGCUGGAGAAUCGUGCGCCCGUGCUCGAGCAGAGGUACCAAUUUUCAGUACUGUUUUUAGGGGCUUCUACAUGAAUCCCAUGCAUGGCUUUGUGGCAUGCAAGACUUUCUUGCUAGACAAGCAAGAAAACAGAGCCAUCACGCUUGCCCUACCGUAGCAGCCUUCAAAGCACCACAUAACGUGGGCUCUGUCAAUGUCAGUUCAUUAGCUGAGCUGAUUUCACAUGUUAACAUCAUGUAACCUUUUUUCUACAUUGCACAUUUAUCAGUUGGAUUACAUCGUAGACUGCAGUUCAGAUCAUUAUCAUGUAGGUUGCUCCUUUGAAAGUUAGACUUCAUAAAGAAGCAAUUUGAUCCGACCACAAUACCUCUGAAUAGAUGCAUCAUGGAUUUGUGGGUUCACCAUCUUGGAAGGUGCAAUUCUGGUGAUGGUGUCAUAAUUGAUAAAUAUGCACGUUGCUUCAUAUGUUGGAUAGUUUUGGCGGCCUUCUGUGUGAGGUAGACUUGACUGAUGAGGGCUUGAAAAGGGGCCUUGGUUUUCUGUCAACUGAAAACUCUGUUUAUGCACAACCUAUAUCCUCUAUGAGAAGGAACGGGAUGGAGCAAGUUCUACAUGCCUCAAAUUGCUUAAAUAUAUGCUAAGCUCACUUGAUUUACCCAGCGGAGUAAACAAAAACUGGGUCCAGAACUACUGCAUGCGUAAUGCAACACUUCUUUUAUGUACUACCUCAAUGCGGGAGUGUUAAUUGUUGAUCCCACUAAGUCUGCAUUUGUUAAAACAUGGUGUUUUGGUAGGAGAUGACUGUCAACCCAGUGCAAUGGUUAGAGCAAAGUAAGGUAUUGCCUCACCCUCUUUAUACUGUCUGAUUUCACUUACUCAUUGGUGCAUUUACUAAAAGAUAAACUUCUGAUACUAAAAUGCUAUUUUUUUCUUGAGAAAAAUUGUAAUGGCCAUAUCUUUCCUUUAUGUUCCAUUGUUAUUUAUCUGUUUUUGAUAAUCUUAAUUCUUACUUUCCAUUGUUUAUCUCUAGGUAUGCAAAGAAGUUGGAUUUGCGACAAGUUUAUUUGGGAGAUUGGUUAUGCUCCAAUUUAAUAUACAUUUGCUGAACAUACAGUAUCACACGAAUCCUUCUUCAGGUUAUUUCCAAAUGUCCAGUUUUAUGAGAGGAAGAUUAGCAUGGCGGCCAAGUUGAAGGUGCACUUCCACGCCGGCGGCCCGAUCUCGACGGCAAUCCGACGCAGGCGGCGUCCACCAACAGCUCCUCCUCCAAGGACGAGGUGGGCCACGCGCAAGAGACCUACGUGCAGAUUUGCUGUAUCAUGUCAUUUAUUUUCUUAUUUCCUGUUUGGUCUUAAUUCCAGUUUUUUGUUUGUAAUAGUUGUUCAUGGGAUGAAAUUUCCAAAUCACGUUGGUUUGUUUGCAUACCCAAAUUGUAAUGAUUAUAUUUUAUUACUUUCCAUCGUGGAUAGAGAUGUAUUUGUCCUCA